GAUGAACGCUGGCGGCGUGCCUAAUACAUGCAAGUCGAGCGAACAGACGAGGAGCUUGCUCCUCUGACGUUAGCGGCGGACGGGUGAGUAACACGUGGAUAACCUACCUAUAAGACUGGGAUAACUUCGGGAAACCGGAGCUAAUACCGGAUAAUAUAUUGAACCGCAUGGUUCAAUAGUGAAAGACGGUUUUGCUGUCACUUAUAGAUGGAUCCGCGCCGCAUUAGCUAGUUGGUAAGGUAACGGCUUACCAAGGCAACGAUGCGUAGCCGACCUGAGAGGGUGAUCGGCCACACUGGAACUGAGACACGGUCAAGACUCCUACGGGAGGCAGCAGUAGGGAAUCUUCCGCAAUGGGCGAAAGCCUGACGGAGCAACGCCGCGUGAGUGAAGAAGGUCUUCGGAUCGUAAAACUUUGUUAUUAGGGAAGAAAAAAUGUGUAAGUAACUAUGCACGUCUUGACGGUACCUAAUCAGAAAGCCACGGCUAACUACGUG
rnacentral:rRNA from 1 species